AAAAAGACAGACAGACAGACAGACAGAGACAGACAGACAGACAGAGACAGGCAGACAGACAGACAGACAGACAGACAGACAGACGUCCUUGGUGGAGUCCCAUGGUGGAGUACUCCUCAGGCUACAUCAACGCUUGUGGCACCAGCUCGAUUUCUUCUCUCUCUCUGUCUCUUCUCUCUCUUCUCUCUUUCUGUCUGUGUGUGUAAACACUCAUGUGGUACACACACACGCCCCCCAUGUACACACAAGCAGGCGAUGUUGGGGUAACAAUAAAACACACAACCACCCACACACAACCUCACACGCACACACAUGACUGUUGGGGCACAUGGUAGUGUUGGGGUAACAUGAAACACACGCAAUCACAGUCCUGAUGGGGCACAUGAUGGGGUUGGGGUAACAUGAAAACAUGCACACACACGGCCACAGAACUAUUCGGGUAUAUGUUGGUGUUGGGGUAACAUAAGACACAGAGACACGCAGACAGACAGAGACAGAGAGACACAAACUCACACACACAGAGUCACACAGAGUCACACAGAGUCACACACACACACAGUCACACACAGAGGCACAGAGACACACAUACAUAAACAGAGACACACACAGUCAAACGCACACAAAGACAGACACACACAGUCAAACACACACUAAGACAGAGACACAUACAUACACACAAAGACAGAGACACACACACACACACAUACACACAUACACACAUACACACAUACACACAUACACACAUACACACAUACACACAUACACACAUACACACAUACACACAUACACACAUACACACAUACACACAUACACACAUACACACAUACACACAUACACACAGACAUACUCACACACAUAAACCUGCCUGUCAUGCAUUAUUCUUCUACAUCAUAUCCUGUCAGCCAAACA
rnacentral:lncRNA from 1 species